GAACAUGGAGAGGAAGAAGUCUGGUUAAACAAAAAAAAAACAAAUAGAGAAGGAGAAGCAAAAAUGUUGUCGUCACUUUCGUCCUCUCGCACGGGAGCCAAUAAUCUCAGAUUCUCACCCAACACAGGUCUCUACUCAAGCUAUGUGUCUAGAAAACAACUCCGUCGUUGCCCUUUCACUUCCUCUGCUAGAUCAUUUCCUAAACUUCAAGUUCAGUCACUCCCACCAAAUCAACCCAAAGUGAUCCCACCCCUUAGUCUACUUCCCAGACCCAAAAGACCAACCUUUCUUAUUCGUUGUGGCAUUUCAUCAGAUAACUUAGGCGCCAGUAAUGAGAAAAGUUUUAGGGAGUGGAUUGAGGUGGUAGGCGAGGCAAUAUCUACAGCAUUUCCUAUAUGGGUAUCGUUGGGUUGCUUGUUGGCGCUCGUAAAGCCCAGCUCUUUCAAUUGGGUCACCCCGAAAUGGACCAUUCUUGGCAUUUCUCUCACCAUGCUUGGAAUGGGCAUGACACUUACCUUCGAUGAUCUUAGGACCGCUUUCGCUAUGCCUAAAGAGCUUAUGUCUGGUUUCGUGCUUCAGUACUCGGUGUGGUCUUUUCUUUUGUGCAUGUUCGUUUGGAUUUGUUGCUUUUAAGUUUUAUCCCAAAACAGUACCCUUAUUCUAAUUACGUAUCGUUUAUCUUUUAAGGGCUUUCAGGUUUUGUUUUGUUACGUUCAAUCUGAUAUUGCUUGCUUAAAAUUUUAAAAUGUUUAAUGCAAAUGAUCAAUCGUCAUUGGCAUUUAUACUGGAUAUCUUAAAUGCAGGUUGCUUUUCAGAAUCAGAAUUGGAUGUUUCUACCUAAUGAAACAUGAUUUUGAUUUGACAAGUUAAUAGAAAGUAGAGUUUCAAACUUUUAAAACUGUAGCUGGAAGAGUUUUAAUCUGCUUAUUUCCAUGUCCCAACUCCCAAUUCCGAAAAUUAUCAGCUCACCUUUAAUACAUAUACAGUUAGGGCAUACUCGGUUAUGCUCCGUCUUAAGGAACAUUAUCAAAAGUUAUCAUGAGUAAUGGUACUUUUACUGUGUUGAUAUUUUUCCCUUUCAUUGAAGUUAAGAGUAACAUCUAGGAAACAGGCUACACUAUGGCAUCAGUGACAUAACCAGUUGUGGGAUAUAUGUUCAAUUUCAUCUUCUUUUUUUUCUUGUUCUUGAAAAAAAGGCUAAUAGUUUAAUUGGUUGUUGGUUGCAGGUGAUGCCAAUAUCUGGGUUUUUGGUGAGCAAGCUCUUAAAUCUGCCUUCACAUUAUGCAGCUGGUCUAAUAUUGGUUGGUUGCUGCCCUGGUGGAACAGCAAGCAACAUAGUGACUUACAUUGCACGGUUUGAGAUUCUCAAUUUUUAUUUUCUCUUUUUCUCUUUUUGCUUAUUGUAGUCAUAAGAUUUGAUGAUCUUUUGUCUCCCAGCGGAAAUGUGGCACUCUCAGUAUUGAUGACAGCAGCAAGCACUUUAGCAGCUGUGGUCGGUAACUGGCAUUGAUGUCUUAUCUUUUACUUGGCAAAAAUUUGGCGUGCAUUCAUUUAAAGGCAAUGUUAGAAAUUACAACAGUAGCAAUUAAGUUUUUCUCUAAAAAAAUACUGCAUUGACAUCAUUUCUUAGUUUUCAACUGAUUCAUUUUCUUUGGCCAGUAAAAGGUUCUUGGGGAAUAAGCUUUUUCAGAUAGUGAGAAAUGUGUUCUAUUCAGUUUUCAUUUUCAGGCAUGGUAUAAUUCAGAAGGAAGGGUUUUUCACUUUUCACUUUUCACUUUUCAUUUGGCCUCUUAAGACUAAAGCAAUUUCUUGAUAAUAUUUCUCUAAAAUGCAUAUCCAAACUUUGAAAUGAUUCUAUAUAAGAUAUUGCUGCCCCCUCAGUUUCCAAAAUAAAUUUCCUCCUACCUUCCAUCUGCAGAUUAUGACCCCAUUUCUUACAGCCAAACUGGCUGGACAAUUUGUUGCAGUAGAUGCAGCUGGACUGCUAAUAUCAACCAUGCAGGUUGUGCUUCUUCCUGUUCUGGCUGGUGCAUUUCUAAAUCAGUAUUUCCAAGGCCUGGUUAAAUUUGUAUCACCCCUGAUGCCACCUAUUGCUGUGGCAACUGUUGCUGUUCUAUGCGGAAAUGCAAUUGCCCAGAGUGCUUCAUCAAUCCUCAUGUCUGGUAAACAAGUGGUGCUUGCUGCAUCUCUACUUCAUGCAUCUGGCUUUUUCUUUGGAUAUGUGCUUGCAAGAGUGCUUGGACUUGAUGUGGCAUCAUCACGGACCAUCUCCAUUGAGGUUGGGAUGCAGAACUCGGUGCUUGGAGUCGUUCUAGCAACUCAGCACUUCGGAAACCCACUGACUGCAGUACCGUGUGCUGUUUCCAGUGUAUGUCACUCGGUCUUCGGUAGUGUCCU
rnacentral:misc_RNA from 1 species